UACGUAGGUGGCAAGCGUUAUCCGGAUUUAUUGGGUGUAAAGGGCGUGUAGGCGGGAGCGCAAGUCAGAUGUGAAAACUCAGGGCUCAACCCUGAGCCUGCAUUUGAAACUGUGUUUCUUGAGUGCUGGAGAGACAAUCGGAAUUCCGUGUGUAGCGGUGAAAUGCGUAGAUAUACGGAGGAACACUAGUGGCGAAGGCGGAUUGCUGGACAGUAACUGACGCUGAGGCGCGAAAGCGUGGGGAGCAAACAGG
rnacentral:rRNA from 1 species